GUGCUUCGAACGGUGCGCGUCGCUCCUGCUUUUCUCCGGAUUUUAUGCAAUGAAAUUAAUCAAUUUUGGACCAAUCAAUCGUUCCAUGACGCUUCCGCUCAGCUCGGCGGUGGCGCUGAUGGCUGAAACUGGGGGAUUUAAUCGACAGCAACUUCAGUCCGGUUUUCGGCAGCGAAGUGUGCGCAACCCAUCAUGCAUCGUUUAUUCCAGAAUCUCGUCAAUUCAUAUAGGAUUUUGAGCAACUUUAUAUUUGUGCGGAUUUUACGAAAUGCGCUAGGCAAUUGAGUGUCGUCAAUAGUCUACUGAAGUUUCCUCUCCUUAGUCGUUGAUCAGCAGACAAUUUUGUGAGGCUACUUCUAUUGGGGACACGACUUA